rnacentral:rRNA from 1 species
AGUGGGGAAUUUUGGACAAUGGGGGCAACCCUGAUCCAGCCAUUCCGCGUGAGUGAAGAAGGCCUUCGGGUUGUAAAGCUCUUUCGGCAGGAACGAAACGGCGGGCUCUAACAUAGCCUGUCAAUGACGGUACCUGAAGAAGAAGCACCGGCUAACUACGUGCCAGCAGCCGCGGUAAUACGUAGGGUGCGAGCGUUAAUCGGAAUUACUGGGCGUAAAGCGUGCGCAGGCGGCUUUGUAAGACAGGUGUGAAAUCCCCGGGCUUAACCUGGGAACUGCGCUUGUGACUGCAAGGCUCGAGUGCGGCAGAGGGGGGUGGAAUUCCACGUGUAGCAGUGAAAUGCGUAGAGAUGUGGAGGAACACCGAUGGCGAAGGCAGCCCCCUGGGUCGACACUGACGCUCAUGCACGAAAGCGUGGGUAGCAAACAGGAUUAGAUACCCUGGUAGUCCACGCCCUAAACGAUGCCAACUAGGUGUUGGGGAAGGAGACUUCCUUAGUACCGUAGCUAACGCGUGAAGUUGGCCGCCUGGGGAGUACGGUCGCAAGAUUAAAACUCAAAGGAAUUGACGGGGACCCGCACAAGCGGUGGAUGAUGUGGAUUAAUUCGAUGCAACGCGAAAAACCUUACCUACCCUUGACAUGCCAGGAAUCCUGCUGAGAGGCGGGAGUGCUCGAAAGAGAGCCUGGACACAGGUGCUGCAUGGCUGUCGUCAGCUCGUGUCGUGAGAUGUUGGGUUAAGUCCCGCAACGAGCGCAACCCUUGUCAAUAGUUGCCAUCAUUCAGUUGGGCACUCUAUUGAGACUGCCGGUGACAAACCGGAGGAAGGUGGGGAUGACGUCAAGUCCUCAUGGCCCUUAUGGGUAGGGCUUCACACGUCAUACAAUGGUCGGUACAGAGGGUUGCCAAGCCGCGAGGUGGAGCCAAUCCCAGAAAGCCGAUCGUAGUCCGGAUCGGAGUCUGCAACUCGACUCCGUGAAGUCGGAAUCGCUAGUAAUCGUGGAUCAGCAUGCCACGGUGAAUACGUUCCCGGGUCUUGUACACACCGCCCGUCACACCAUGGGAGUGGGUUUCACCAGAAGUAGGUAGCCUAACCGCAAGGAGGGCGCUUACCACGGUGGGAUUCAUGACUGGGGUG